CUAAGGAAAUUGAUUGGAUGUGACAUAUUCUCAAAUCAAAUCUAACACAACAUAAAAUUUCACUACAGUAUGCUGGGCUUGAAUUGAAAUAAAUUAUAAAAGAAAAUGAUUAAAAUAUCCUUAUUUCAAUAUGUUGUAGCGAAACGAGUAAUAUAAGAUAAUUAACUUGUAAAAUAAAGCUUUUAACAAGUAAAAUAUCCUUAUUAAAUCUUCUCUCAUUCUUUCACAUUUUUUUAUUUAAUGGAAAAACACAUUCAUUGGCUUACAUAGUUUUCUUGGAUUUUGCAUUUAAAUCUUAUAGCUUUUUGUCCCCCGUUUUUUCAAUGACCAAAGGAACAAAUGUCACCCAAACUUGCUGAAACUAUAGAGAUUGAAAAAAAUUGAAAAAACUAUAAAGAUUAAAAACAAAAUUCAAUAAAAUUAUAAGAAUUGAUGAUUGUAUUUUUCUUUAUUUAACUUUAGUUUCAACAAAUUUAGAAUAUAUUUUUAUUAUUGUUAUUAUUUUUAAUUUUUUAUUUCAAAUAAAAAGUAUGAUAGUUACAAUAUAUUAAAUAAAUUAAUAACCGGCUUGACCCUGGUUACAUCAUUAGCUCUUAAAUCAGUCUUUUAAUCAAUUCAAUAACCAAUCUGAUUUUGAAUAGCUUGCUUUGCAGUAAUUACUCUAUCUUGUGGUCCUAAAUCAUAUGCCUACUUGUAUCGUUUUUGUCGGUCAUUCUCUCUCUCUCUCUAUUUUUUUUUUCGGUAGUGUUUGCUGAAUCUGCCCCAAAUCCACUCACAUGAAAUAUCCAAAAGAUAUUUGGGGCCCAAAGCCGAUCCCAUAUCUCUACAAGAAAAAGAUGCCUGGCCUUCUCCCUCUGUAUAAUUCCUCUUGUUUUUGUCUGUAUCAUCAUCGACACAUUAGUUUAGCUUCAGAAAGGAGCUCCUCCAGCAAUGAAGUUUUCACUCCUUCCCAUCAUUGCUUUUUACAUGGUUGUGCUGGAUGCUGCGCAUGAAACCUUAUUACCUUCUGAACUUUAUUGGAAGUCCAUGCUUCCCACUACUCCCAUGCCUAAAUCCAUCAGAGAUCUCCUCCAUCCAACUGCCAUGAAUGAAAAACCUGACCUGACCACCAAUUAAACUGGCAAAUUGGCACUCAGAUGCACUAGUUGACACUAGAUCUCUUGUCGAUCAUUAAGGG